ACGGAGAUUACAGGCGGAAGUUUUCGGAUGGAAGCUUGUAAACUUAGUGGCGGACGGGUGAGUAACACGUGAGCAACCUGCCUAUCAGAGGGGGAUAACGAUUGGAAACGAUCGCUAAUACCGCAUGACAUAGCGGAAUCGCAUGGUUCUGUUAUCAAAGAUUUUAUCGCUGAUAGAUGGGCUCGCGUCCGAUUAGAUAGUUGGUGAGGUAACGGCUCACCAAGUCAACGAUCAGUAGCCGGACUGGGAGGUUGACCGGCCACAUUGGAACUGAGAAACGGUCCAGACUCCUACGGGAGGCAGCAGUGGGGAAUAUUGGGCAAUGGGCGAAAGCCUGACCCAGCAACGCCGUGUGAAGGAAGAAGGUCUUCGGAUUGUAAACUUUUGUCUUGUGGGACGAUAAUGACGGUACCAUAGGAGGAAGCCACGACUAACUACGUGCCAGCAGUCGCGGUAAUACGUAGGUGGCGAGCGUUAUCCGGAAUUAUUGGGUGUAAAGGGUGCGUAGGCGGGCUGUAAAGUCAGAUGUGAAAGGCUGGGGCUUAACCCUGGGACUGCAUUUGAAACUUAUGGUCUUGAGUGAAGUAGAGGUAAGCGGAAUUCCCAGUGUAGCGGUGAAAUGCGUAGAUAUUGGGAGGAACACCAGUGGCGAAGGCGGCUUACUGGGCUUU
rnacentral:rRNA from 1 species